rnacentral:lncRNA from 1 species
AGAAGAAAGUGAUGUGACACGAAUUAAGUCGCGCCGUGACGGAAAGCCGAUCCCCCCAUCAGAGGGCCCAGCGUGCGCUGCGUUCUGUCCUUUGAUUAGGUCGGGAGUUGGCGGGGUCAGCUUUCCUCGGUCGCCGUGAACGAAGUGGGACAAGGGAGCUGUUGUGUGCUGUGUGGGGAAGACUGCUGCAAAACAAGGUCGUCAUUUUACAGCAUGAACUGUGUUAUCGAGAAGAUGUGAAAUAAACGUGACAAAGCGAUGCAGUCCUUUAAAUCUGCCUUAAUUUUACUGGGAACACUGCAAAUGCAAGACAAUACCAGUUGCUGCGUGAAGCGUUGCGUGUGGUUGACCUGCUCUACCCUAGGGGCUGUGUAUGGUUGGAGUAUGACUUGAGAUCUACAGGAGGAACAGCACAAGCCAGCGUUUGUACUGCUUGCUUAUCACAGACGCAGCUUCAGUUGCUGUGCACUCCGCCAUGAGUAAGAGUUUAUGCUGAAGCUGUGAGUUUUCCCACGAAAGCAGAGAAGAGACACGUGUAGCGGGUGGAAGCACACGCUCCUACCACACUCUGGGGAAGGUUCCUGCAUUCCAUGGACAGUGCUGCCUUUGGGGAGGGCUCCCGGUGUGCAGCUCUGCCAUCCCCGCCGGUGCUGAACCCGACACGGAGCAGCGCCAUGGAGCGGGGCGGGCAGCCGGACAGCGCGGAGCAUCGCGAGCAGUUGGUAACGUUUGGCAGCUUAACAGAGAAAAAAAUGACUGCUAGGGAAAUCUCAACCGCCGCUAAUUAGCAGCAAUGAACUGUGGCUGUAGAUGUCUACUUUGUUCCAAAGCCCCUUUUGUCCCUGGCCAUGGGGCUGUCCUGGAGCACCAUGGAUGUCCCCACACUGGCAGCAGGGCCUGAGCAGCCAUGGGAGGAUGCGCUGCUGGACAGACAUGGGCAGCACCAGCGGUGCAAGUGCAAAGGAUGAAACUGCCCUGGAGAGAGAAUGGGCUCAGCACAUGACAACGCAGACGUGGCUGUGCUCAGGAUUACCAUGCCUGGACGUGGGAGCAAGAAACCUGAACUUGCUGUGGGUUGAAAAAGUCUGAAAUUACAUUCUUGGUGAUGUAAGAGAUCUUCCGAUCCCUGGGAUUUUUCACUGAUGUCAUUACGGACACAAGUACCAUCUGUUUCCUACAUGUAGGUACGUGAGAUUCCUGCACCUUGUAAACCGGAGCUGGGUGACCAUUGGCUCUUGGAAUCUCAAGAUGUACACCCAAAAUCUUUCGUCUUUUCUUAACUUUUUCUUCCCAGUAAGAAGCAGCUGCCUCUACAAAGACUGAGGUUUCAGGGAUGCUCAAAGAUGACGCCUCAUGGGAGCGGAGACGAUGCUGUCGCCCUGCAACUCCCUCUAGGACCCCAUGGUAGUAAUUAAUAAGAAGCCAAGUUCUCAACUAGCUGUGACAAAUUGGAAAGCUGUGAAUUUGGAGAUAAGAGCGGAGGGUCACAGUUUAUUUGUAACUGGGUUAUCUAAUCGUAAUAAGCACUUACAGCAAAAAGCAUCAUAAAAGAAAAUAGUGCGGUACAAGAACCUUGGAGUAAUUGGGUUUUCCCACACAAAUAAGAUCCACG